rnacentral:rRNA from 1 species
GACGAACGCUGGCGGCGUGCUUAACACAUGCAAGUCGAACGGAAAGACCCUGCUUUUGUGGGGUGCUCGAGUGGCGAACGGGUGAGUAACACGUGAGUAACCUGCCCUUGACUUUGGGAUAACUUCAGGAAACUGGGGCUAAUACCGGAUAGGAGCUCCUGCUGCAUGGUGGGGGUUGGAAAGUUUCGGCGGUUGGGGAUGGACUCGCGGCUUAUCAGCUUGUUGGUGGGGUAGUGGCUUACCAAGGCUUUGACGGGUAGCCGGCCUGAGAGGGUGACCGGCCAACUUGGGAAUGGGGUACGGCCCAGACUCCUACGGGGGGCAGCAGUGGGGGAUAUUGCACAAUGGGCGGAAGCCUGAUGCAGGAACGCCGCGUGCGGGAUGACGGCCUUCGGGUUGUAAACCGCUUUCGCCUGUGACGAAGCGUGAGUGACGGUAAUGGGUAAAGAAGCACCGGCUAACUACGUG